ACUGUCAGACACAACCUCGUGAGUGAUCAGCUGUGUGAAGGUGGAUUUGACGCUGAGGCGACACGUUUGAAGGAUGACCCUGAACUUGGAUCUCCACAACGUCUUCCAGAGGAGAAGGACCUCAACAUCCUGGCAAAUAGAGGCCCAGAUAGCCACGGAUGUGAUCUCAGCACCCCCCCAAACCCCAGCAGCAGCACAGAGGAACAACAUCCUCAUGAGAGCACUGCUGAUGCUGCUGAGGGAAACGACCAGGAGAGGAAGGUGAUGGAGAAAGAGAAGAAGAAAAGAAGUGGUGGAGGGUGGCCUCUUUCUACGGAGCUGUGAAGAAACAUCUGAAGCGCAGCUCGAACCCAGUUCAGGGUGAAGAAGAGCUGAAGCAAGAGCAAGAGCAGCAGAGAGAGAAAGUGAAGAACCAGAAAGAACAGAAAGCCAGAUGCAGUGAUGACUUCAUUUCCAGCCACUACCAGCUGGGUGAUCUGCUGGGUGAAGGUGGAUUUGGUUCUGUGUAUGAGGCGAGACGUUUGGAGGAUGACCUUAAAGUGGCGGUCAAAUAUGUUAAUAAGACCGAAACCUACAGGCCAAGUUUAUACAUUCCUGGAUAUCAGCAACAUGUUCCACUGGAGAUCGCCCUCACAAUCCUGGCUAAUAAAGGCCCCAGAGUGCCAGAGAUCAUCCAGCUGCUGGACUGGAAGGACUACAAUGACCAUUUCGUCAUGAUCCUUGAAUGUCCCUCUCCUUGCGAGACUUUGGAAGACUUUGUGGGGCGUCAGGGUGGACGUCUCAACGAGAGCUUAGCACGGCGAGUCAUGAUGCAGGUGACUAAAGCUGCGAACGUGUGCUGCCAGCGCCAAGU